rnacentral:rRNA from 1 species
CAUUCCGCGUGCAGGAUGAAGGCCCUCGGGUUGUAAACUGCUUUUGUACGGAACGAAAGGCCUGGGUUAAUACCCUGGGCUCAUGACGGUACCGUAAGAAUAAGCACCGGCUAACUACGUGCCAGCACCCUCGGUGACUGAGCGGGCUGGCAAGGCGCAUA